AACGAACGCUGGCGGCAUGCCUAACACAUGCAAGUCGAACGAGACCUUCGGGUCUAGUGGCGCACGGGUGCGUCACGCGUGGGAACCUGCCCUUAGGUUCGGAAUAACUCUCCGACAGGGGUGCUAAUACCGGAUAAUGUCUUCGGACCAAAGAUUUAUCGCCUUUGGAUGGGCCCGCGUUGGAUUAGCUAGUUGGUAGGGUAAAAGCCUACCAAGGCGACGAUCCAUAGCUGGUCUGAGAGGAUGAGCAGCCACACUGGGACUGAGACACGGCCCAGACUCCUACGGGAGGCAGCAGUGGGGAAUAUUGGACAAUGGGCGAAAGCCUGAUCCAGCAAUGCCGCGUGAGUGAUGAAGGCCUUAGGGUUGUAAAGCUCUUUUACCCGGGAUGAUAAUGACAGUACCGGGAGAAUAAGCUCCGGCUAACUCCGUG
rnacentral:rRNA from 1 species